UCUCCGUAUGACACGCCCUUGGCCUCGGC
rnacentral:sRNA from 1 species